AGUAGUUUGAUCAUGGCUCAGGAUGAACGCUGGCGGCGUGCCUAACACAUGCAAGUCGAACGGAGCUUAUUUUUGGAGACUUCGGUCAAAGAAGCUUAAGCUUAGUGGCGGACGGGUGAGUAACGCGUGGAGAACCUGCCCUGUACUGGGGGAUAACAGCCGGAAACGGCUGCUAAUACCGCAUAAGCGCACGAGGCCGCAUGGCCCUGUGUGAAAAACUCCGGUGGUGUGAGAUGGACCCGCGUCUGAUUAGCUAGUUGGUGAGGUAACGGCCCACCAAGGCGACGAUCAGUAGCCGGCCUGAGAGGGUGUACGGCCACAUUGGGACUGAGACACGGCCCAAACUCC
rnacentral:rRNA from 1 species